AGCAGCCGCGGUAAUUCCAGCUCCAAUAGCGUAUAUUAAAGUUGUUGCAGUUAAAAAGCUCGUAGUUGAAUUUCGGGGUCAGUAGAUUGGUCGUGCCACGGGUAUGUACUGGUCUCACUGAUUCCUCCUUCCUGAUGAACCGUAAUGCCAUUAAUUUGGUGUUGCCGGGAAACUGGACUGUUACUUUGAAAAAUUAGAGUGUUUAAAGCAGGCUAACGCUUGAAUACAUUAGCAUGGAAUAAUGAAAUAGGACGUUCGAUCUUAUUUUGUUGGUUUCUAGGAUUGACGUAAUGAUUAAUAGGGAUAGUUGGGGGCAUUAGUAUUCAAUUGUCAGAGGUGAAAUUCUUGGAUUUAUUGAAGACUAACUACUGCGAAAGCAUUUGCCAAGGAUGUUUUCAUUAAUCAAGAACGAAAGUUAGGGGAUCGAAGACGAUCAGAUACCGUCGUAGUCUUAACCAUAAACUAUGCCGACUAGGGAUCGGAUGAUGUUAAUUUUUAAUGUACUCAUUCGGCGCCUUAC
rnacentral:rRNA from 1 species